AUACUGUUAGUCCAAAGUUA
rnacentral:snRNA from 1 species